CUUCUACAUGCCAUAAAAAUCUCAUCUUUAAUUGGUGUUAAAUCAUAAGAGAUCAGGUUAAGAAAUUAAGGCAACGCGUUAAGAUAAGAGUCUUCAUGAAGAAGGACUCUUCAUCUUCACACACUAAAAUGAGUGGGGUGGCAUUUAAUUUUUGGUGUGGCUUCUGAUGGGUGCAGAGGAGUCUUUCUCUACUUAAAAUUGUUUCAAGUUGGAUAGAAAACCAAUUAAGAUAGACCCAAUCUCAUUAGGUCAAAGAUAAUUGGUCUAGGCUAGCUCAAACACUUUGAUCU
rnacentral:lncRNA from 1 species